UCAAACAAGAUGAUAUACCACUUCUUUCUCAUUAUUCUUUCUUCUACAUUUAACUCUUCACUCUCCUCCUUUUGCUUAUUCAUAUUUUGUGAUAUCCUCCAUUUUACUAAUAUCCAUUUUUUUGUGUUUUGUAGAAAAAGUAUAAGACAUUCAUCUCUAUCCAACAACAAGAAUUACUCAUCUCUACCAACAACAACAACAACGCGGCCGAAUAAGUAUAUGAAGAUGAAACUCACGUAUGAAGAUCUCUUUGCCAUUUUGUUGUUGCGGCGGCUAGGAUUUGAUGAAGGAGAAGAGAGAAUUUGGUGAAAAAUAUAUGAAGGUUAUACCAACCAUGUAUUCACAAGAUAUUUACAAAAUAGAAGGAUUUCAUUUUCCGGCACGGUGGAUGCAAUUUCCGGCACGGUGGUCACCGGUUAUCUAUGGUGGUGGAGAUCUAGACGAAAAGGUGGACGGUUGGAGAAAUAUA